CCAACCCUUGGCAGAACAUAUCCAUCGCGUCCGCCAUCUCCAGCAGCCGCACGCGGCGCAUCUCGGGCCGCGUUGCUGGCGUUUUUCCAUAGGCUCCGCCCCCCUGACGAGCAUCACAAAAAUCGACGCUCAAGUCAGAGGUGGCGAAACCCGACAGGACUAUAAAGAUACCAGGCGUUUCCCCCUGGAAGCUCCCUCGUGCGCUCUCCUGUUCCGACCCUGCCGCUUACCGGAUACCUGUCCGCCUUUCUCCCUUCGGGAAGCGUGGCGCUUUCUCAAUGCUCACGCUGUAGGUAUCUCAGUUCGGUGUAGGUCGUUCGCUCCAAGCUGGGCUGUGUGCACGAACCCCCCGUUCAGCCCGACCGCUGCGCCUUAUCCGGUAACUAUCGUCUUGAGUCCAACCCGGUAAGACACGACUUAUCGCCACUGGCAGCAGCCACUGGUAACAGGAUUAGCAGAGCGAGGUAUGUAGGCGGUGCUACAGAGUUCUUGAAGUGGUGGCCUAACUACGGCUACACUAGAAGGACAGUAUUUGGUAUCUGCGCUCUGCUGAAGCCAGUUACCUUCGGAAAAAGAGUUGGUAGCUCUUGAUCCGGCAAACAAACCACCGCUGGUAGCGGUGGUUUUUUUGUUUGCAAGCAGCAGAUUACGCGCAGAAAAAAAGGAUCUCAAGAAGAUCCUUUGAUCUUUUCUACGGGGUCUGACGCUCAGUGGAACGAAAACUCACGUUAAGGGAUUUUGGUCAUGAGAUUAUCAAAAAGGAUCUUCACCUAGAUCCUUUUAAAUUAAAAAUGAAGUUUUAAAUCAAUCUAAAGUAUAUAUGAGUAAACUUGGUCUGACAGUUACCAAUGCUUAAUCAGUGAGGCACCUAUCUCAGCGAUCUGUCUAUUUCGUUCAUCCAUAGUUGCCUGACUCCCCGUCGUGUAGAUAACUACGAUACGGGAGGGCUUACCAUCUGGCCCCAGUGCUGCAAUGAUACCGCGAGACCCACGCUCACCGGCUCCAGAUUUAUCAGCAAUAAACCAGCCAGCCGGAAGGGCCGAGCGCAGAAGUGGUCCUGCAACUUUAUCCGCCUCCAUCCAGUCUAUUAAUUGUUGCCGGGAAGCUAGAGUAAGUAGUUCGCCAGUUAAUAGUUUGCGCAACGUUGUUGCCAUUGCUGCAGGCAUCGUGGUGUCACGCUCGUCGUUUGGUAUGGCUUCAUUCAGCUCCGGUUCCCAACGAUCAAGGCGAGUUACAUGAUCCCCCAUGUUGUGCAAAAAAGCGGUUAGCUCCUUCGGUCCUCCGAUCGUUGUCAGAAGUAAGUUGGCCGCAGUGUUAUCACUCAUGGUUAUGGCAGCACUGCAUAAUUCUCUUACUGUCAUGCCAUCCGUAAGAUGCUUUUCUGUGACUGGUGAGUACUCAACCAAGUCAUUCUGAGAAUAGUGUAUGCGGCGACCGAGUUGCUCUUGCCCGGCGUCAACACGGGAUAAUACCGCGCCACAUAGCAGAACUUUAAAAGUGCUCAUCAUUGGAAAACGUUCUUCGGGGCGAAAACUCUCAAGGAUCUUACCGCUGUUGAGAUCCAGUUCGAUGUAACCCACUCGUGCACCCAACUGAUCUUCAGCAUCUUUUACUUUCACCAGCGUUUCUGGGUGAGCAAAAACAGGAAGGCAAAAUGCCGCAAAAAAGGGAAUAAGGGCGACACGGAAAUGUUGAAUACUCAUACUCUUCCUUUUUCAAUAUUAUUGAAGCAUUUAUCAGGGUUAUUGUCUCAUGAGCGGAUACAUAUUUGAAUGUAUUUAGAAAAAUAAACAAAUAGGGGUUCCGCGCACAUUUCCCCGAAAAGUGCCACCUGACGUCUAAGAAACCAUUAUUAUCAUGACAUUAACCUAUAAAAAUAGGCGUAUCACGAGGCCCUUUCGUCCC
rnacentral:misc_RNA from 1 species